rnacentral:precursor_RNA from 1 species
GGUAGAUUUUCCUUCUAUGAUUACGUGUUGGAUGGUUAAUCAUAGAGGAAAAUCCACAUU